CAAAAGCAUCCAUCAACAUGAAGACCUUGGCAACCGUAUUUUUUUUGAUGACCAUACAAAUUAACCUUACCACAAUACAUUCACUGCCGACAUUGCUAUUCCAAAUCGAAAACUAUGACAUGCCAGAAGUUUGCAAAGAUGCCACAUACUGCUUUGAAAAAGGCCCUCUGUAUCCGAGCCAAAGACUUGAAAAUUUAACAAACAUUAUCAAUGAGUUGGUAAGUAUUAACCUACUUAACCUAGUAUAAGGUCUCGUUUAGACGGUGCAAAAAUGAUUUUUGUCAUUAUUUGAAUAAUAACAAAUUGGCAAAGAUGAACUGCUUUGAAUUUGAGGACUUGUGACGAAUUAUUUAAACAUAGUUGUGACGU